rnacentral:rRNA from 1 species
ACGGGAGGCAGCAGUGGGGAAUCUUCCGCAAUGGGCGAAAGCCUGACGGAGCAAUGCCGCGUGAGCGAAGAAGGCCUUCGGGUUGUAAAGCUCUGUCCUUAUUGAAGAGAGGUAUUAGUGUGAAUAAUGCUAGUAUAGGACGGUAAAUAAGGAGGAAGCCCCGGCUAACUACGUGCCAGCAGCCGCGGUAAUACGUAGGGGGCAAGCGUUGUCCGGAAUCACUGGGCGUAAAGGGCGCGCAGGCGGUUUAGUAAGUCGGCGGUGAAAGCUGAGAGCUCAACCCUCAGCCUGCCGUCGAUACUGCUAAACUUGAGUGUGGAAGAGGAGAAUGGAAUGCCGAGUGUAGCGGUGAAAUGCGUAGAGAUUAGGAGGAACACCAGUGGCGAAGGCGGUUUUCUGGGCCAUAACUGACGCUGAGGCGCGAAAGCGUGGGGAGCAAACAGGAUUAGAUACCCUGGUA